UACGAAGGGGGCUAGCGUUGCUCGGAAUCACUGGGCGCAAAGGGUGCGUAGGCGGGCCUUUAAGGCAGGGGGGAAAUCCUGGAGCUCAACUCCAGAACUGCCUUUGAUACUGAAGAUCUUGAGUUCGGGAGAGGUGAGUGGAACUGCGAGUGUAGAGGUGAAAUUCGUAGAUAUUCGCAAGAACACCAGUGGCGAAGGCGGCUCAGUGGCCCGAUACUGACGCUGAGGCACGAAAGCGUGGGGAGCAAACAGG
rnacentral:rRNA from 1 species